UUCUCCAUCCCACAAUUUAACCCUCUCUGGGCACAGAAGCAUUUGGGGAACUAGUUCCUGUGCUGCUGUUAUCUCAUCUCAGAAAUGAACUUCUGCAAAGGAGCUGGAAAGGCAGGAGAAGAGGAUGGAUUAUCAUGCAGGUGCAGGGAGGGGACCUAAAGAAGAGCUCCAUAGAUUAUCGCCCCCCCCCCAAAAAAAAUGCAACCCAAAUCAUCAACAAAGUAUCGACUCAAAAACAUGCAGAAGAAAAAGAAAGGAAUCAGUGUUGGGAUGGUUGGAGCGGAAGGAGCCGAGCUGCCCAGAAUGUCUCCUGUGAAGGCUGCGAAGAGCAGAUAAGCAGGGCCCCAGAGGCAGGCGGCACAGGAAGAAGGGCAGCGUGAGGGGAGCUACAGAUCUACCCACAGAAACCCAAGAGGAGGGCUUGCUAACCAGAGACCGAGGGAGCUUGCUUGUCAAAGUCUGUGGAAUGGCUGAGCCACAGGCCCUGUUACCACCGUACUUCAGUGAUGCUUGGUUUGGCUCCCUCACACAGCCUGUAAAUCUGCCCAUAACAAGGGGAAAAUUAGAGAAAUGAAUCUGGGCAAAUAGAAAAUUAAGGAGAACUGGAGACAGCCAGCUCCUGUAGAGAGCAGCCCUGGGGAGAUGCAGGGGGUGCUGAUCCUGAAAUGAGUCCGAAUGAUCAGGAAAACCUAAGCAAUGGUUGGAGGGUCUGGAAGGAACGGACAACUGGAAAGUCUCCCCACAAGUUACGAGGACUGGCACAGAUGAACUUUGGAGAUCUUGUUUCAGGGACCCAGAAUGAUAAGGCAGUUUCACCAGCAGCUCAGUGCAGGGAUUCUCAAACCAUGAUCCCCUGAUGGGGAAGGAGGGUGGGGAGUAACACCACAAUUAGGAAUUUGUUAGCUAUGCAGAUUCCAGGGCCUUAUUCCCAACAUACUGAAUCAGAAACUGGGGAGUGGGGCCCAGCCAAUCCGAUCCGAAGGAAGCUCAUGUUUGAGAACCACUGGCUUAGUGUAAGGGGCUGCCGAUUGGUAUAAAAUGUCACCUGAGGUCUAUUUUGUCUCCAGGAGAGGUAGCUCUCGUACCUCUUAAGGAAAACGAAGGUUUAUGGGCUAGUUAGUGGUUCUUAACUACAAGGUUGCAGCAGCUGGCUUCAGUUGACUCCAAAAUGGCCCUUUAAAUAAAUACAAAGGACAAAGAUUAAAUUAUAUUAGCAGCCUAGGAGCAGAAGGGCCAGAUUGCUUUAAAAAAACCAGCUAGAGAUUUUAUUAAUAUUUAAAUUGCAGUGAAACCACAGCUGCAGCCUUUGACUCCAGUGUGGAGAUAUGCAAAUGGGGCUUUCUAAAGAAAGGCAAUUUCAGACAGCCCUCAAGGUAACAAGAACAAAUAAAACAAAUGAUUUUGUAAUUUAUCUUUAUUGACUGAUGGAGAGCAAGGUGAACAGACAACCCUUACCUAGUGAGAGCCAGCCACCAGUGUGCUCUCGCUCUCGGAGGGGAGAAGAGACAGCUGGCCUGGAGGGAGAAAGCAGGCAAGACCCGUCAAGAGGGAUAGGAAAGACCCAAAGAGGACAAAGCAGAAGAAGGCAGAUGGGAGAAGAUGAUUAGAUUGAAAGGGAAGAAAAAUGGAAACCCAGCCCUGGCUUCUGGGGACCAUCUGAUCUUGCCAGGUCUUGGGGGCAACAGCAGUAAUAAUCAUUAAUGACUAUCAUUUGCCACAUUCCUACGAAGUGCCAUGCGCUAUUUCCAACAUACAAAUGAGGAAAAUGACACUUUGAGAGGUCAAGCAACUUGCCCCGGGGUCACACAACAAAAGGAGGUGGCAAAGCCUUGAUGCAGACAUAGAUUUGUGUGAGGCUAAACUGCAGGGAACCAGCCUUAGGAGUUGGUGAGUGACAAUAAGGUUAAUGAUUGAGGGGAGACUAUGAGCCCAGUUCUGUGAUAGCUUCUAUAUGUGUGGUUGUGGAAGGGAGGGGAGAAGAGAUCCAUUUCUGGCCUUCAUAUUGCUUACUAUUCAAUGGGUGAGGCAAGAAAGCCACAGAAAACCCUUGCAGAAUUGGCCUUCUGGUUCAGAAGCCCCCUGGGGGCUGUGUGGCAGGACCUCCGGUUGAAGCAUCUCAAGCUGACCCCUGGAGCUUGGGUAGGAUUUGGCCUGGUGAAAAAGAAGCCAGGAGAUUGCAGAAGGCCUGGAUAAGAACCCCCCCCCCCCCCCAGCCGGCAGAACUAGGACUAGGGGAAAGGAGCACACGAUCCACAAAGAGGAGUUGGGAAAGUCUUCUGAGGAUACAUUUCCCUGACCCAUGUGGUCUUCCUACACCAUCCACCCCAAGCUGAAACCCAACCUCUCCAGAACCUCACCUGCUGCUCCCUCUCAGGCACCCUGGCCACCAAACAUGGGGACCCGCAGGUUCCACCCACAUUGUAACUUGACCUCGGUGAGUUCUGUUCUUCCAUCUCCACAGGCCCAAUCCUGUCCAUCCCAGCUUUUCCACAGAACCUUCACCAGCCUUCCAGCCCAGAAUCUCUCCUCCUACAGAAUACCUCAGCAGUUUGCUUUAUUUAUGACACUUUCUUCCAUUACCUUUGAAUCCAGAGCAUAAGAAACCCCCUUCAAGAGGCCUUUCCUGAUUCCCUUGGGCCCGGAUCAGAAGCAGUCAGGCCUGGAUGUCUAAGCUGUAAGGAAUAAAGGUUCACUUAUAAAGGGUC